rnacentral:rRNA from 1 species
AUGGCGAGGAGGCAAACGGCGGCGACUCUUGGACUUGGGCGAGGCUUCGGCUUGGCGGCACAGGAACGGCGAGGAGGGACUUGGCAUCGGGGCGGCACGUUGCAAGGUCGGGGACGCGAGCGUCCAUGGCGGCAGAGUGCACUGUUUGAGACAAAGAGAGAAAUUGAGAUGUGUGAGAGAGAAAAAGGAGGAAGAAGGAUAGCACCGGAAGAAGGGUGGCACUCAUCUGCGGGCCCCGGCAAGUUGUGGCUGGUGGUCGCCGGCGGCGGCGUGCAAAACCACAGGAGGAGCUCCUCUCGUGGGGCUCGGGUGCGGGGAAUCGUGGGAGGAGGCUGCAAGGACAGCGAGGUCGCUCGCUCGGUCGGGGGUGGGAGGGAGAGGACUGGAUCGGGAGGGGGCGGGUACGGGAGGAGGUGGCGGCGGCGGCGGGGAGAUUGGGAGCAGGGAGAUAGAUGGAUGGAUCUGAUCUAG